AUUGGACAAUGGGCGCAAGCCUGAUCCAGCCAUGCCGCGUGGGUGAAGAAGGCCUUCGGGUUGUAAAGCCCUUUUGUCCGGAAAGAAAUCCUGUCGGUUAAUACCCGGCGGGGAUGACGGUACCGGAAGAAUAAGCACCGGCUAACUUCGUGCCAGCAGCCGCGGUAAUACGAAGGGUGCAAGCGUUACUCGGAAUUACUGGGCGUAAAGCGUGCGUAGGCGGUUCGUUAAGUCCGAUGUGAAAGCCCUGGGCUCAACCUGGGAACUGCAUUGGAUACUGGCGAGCUAGAGUGCGGUAGAGGAUGGUGGAAUUCCCGGUGUAGCGGUGAAAUGCGUAGAGAUCGGGAGGAACACCAGUGGCGAAGGCGGCCAUCUGGACCAGCACUGACGCUGAGGCACGAAAGCGUGGGGAGCAAACA
rnacentral:rRNA from 1 species